ensembl:lncRNA
GGCCAUGUCCUACAUCCUGGGAACCUGGCUGCUCCAGUACCCAGAUGAUUUCCACCAGCCUCCAGAAUUUCCAUGCUUUAAGACAGUGCUCACUUACAUAUAGCUGAGCAUGCCUGGCUCUGACCUGAAGCAGCAGGCCCACCUCCUCCUGGCACAGCUGGAGCAAGUGGAACUCCCAGAGGCAAAGAGUGAUGGUGAGCAGGAUGCAGGCACCUGCUGCAAAACCCACUGGGGAAACCCCUCUGGAUGGAGAGCCAGCUCCAGCUCUCCUGCCUGCGACAGCACCAGAGCCAGAGCAGAACGAUGUGCUGUAUCAGUCAGGCUGUUUCCUGCCCUCAUCUUCAGUGCCGGGAUGCCUACACUCCUGAGGUGUCCUGUGACACAUCGACCUCCUUUCCCUUGUCUGCUGUGGACCCACAACACAGCUCAGGGGCUUCAUCAACACUCCCUGACACCUUGCCCUUGGGAAAUGCCCUGUCAUGUCAUGAUCAAGACAAGGACUUCAAGUAGAAGGUACACUCAAGACUUCGAUUUUAUGGAAUUUGGUUUCUCCUAACAGCAAGACUGACGUUGAGAUGCUUUCUCUGCCACAUCUACUGUGAGAAUGAAGACAAUUCUCAGCAAUCAGACUAUCGACAUUCCAGAAAAUCACUUUGAAGGGACUCACAGUAAUUGUGAAGGGCCCCAGAGGCACCCUGCGGAGGGACUUCAAUCACAUCAAUGUAGAACUCAGUCUCCUUGGAAAGAAAAAGAGGCUCCAGGUUGACAAGUGGUGGGGAAAUAGAAAAGAACUGGCUACUGUUCACAAUAUCUGUAGUCAUGUACAGAACACGAUGAAGGGUGUUACACUGGGCUUCCAUUACAAGAUGAGGUCUGUGUAUGCUCACUUCCCCAUCAAUGUCAUUAUUCAGGAGAAUGGUUCGCUUAUUGAAAUUCAAAAUUUCUUGGGUGAAAAAUGCAUUUGCAGGGCUCGGAUGAGGCCAGGUGUUGCUUGUUCAGUAUCUCAAGCUCAGAAAGAUGAGUUAGUUCUUGAGGGAAAUGACAUUGAACUGGUAUCAAAUUCAGCUGCUUUGAUUCAGCAAGCCACAACAGUUAAAAACAAGGAUAUCAGAAAAUUUUUGGAUGGUAUCUAUGUUUCUGAAAAAAGAACAGUUCAGCAGGCUGAUGAAUAAUAUCGAAGUUGUCUGGGUACAGAAAGAGCAAGAUGCCAGAUGACUCCUCAGAUUCAGUUGUAAUAUCUUAAGGAUACAAUAAAAGCUGUGUUGAUUGGGAAAAAAAAAAAAGGUUGAUGUUGUGUGUGUGUGAAUGUUACCUGUUUGUCUGACAUCCCAUGGAGACAGCAGCACACAUGCCAUUCCUCAUAGCCACCAGAGGGAGGUGUAUAACUGUUUAUGACAAACACUCUGCUCCAUUCAAAAGUGGCCCUUUCCAAUUUAGCCUUCAUCAGAACGUGUUUUAUAAACUGAGGAUUUCUUUAAGGUAUAUAGAUUGCUUUUCUUCUUUAAUCUCAUUUCAGAUCUAAUGUAAAUACACUACAAUUCACAAAUAUAGUUGAGCCACUGAGUGCAAGUUGUCCCUUGUGACAGAUAGACAUGUAUAAUUCUGUGUCCAACCCCCAUUUGUGUCCACCUCUGUCCCUUCCUCAUUCCCUCCAACCAUCUGUAAAUAUCUA